AUCACAUUAGCUAAGACUUGCUAAUACGAUAGUAUAAUAUCAAAAAGGAAUGGGUGAAGCAAUUGAGGUUUCUUCCAUGGGUCCAGGGAAUUGAUUAAGAUCAUUAUUCUAGAGUUCAAGCCUGAAGACUACAAAAGACCAAUAAAGCCACAGACGUGACUAAUAUAGCCUCCCAAUUUAUUCAAGUUUAAAAGAAAAAAGAAAAAUACACAGACUGAAUUUUUCUUUAGAUCAGUGUUUCUUUGAUUAGGUCACUGUAAAGAGAAAUUCAACAGGCCUUAAGGCCUUGCUCUCCCUAGUAAUUCUUGGACUGUUUGUAGCUGGCAGCAGAAGGUAAUAAUAUAUUUUGAAUU